CUACGGGCGGCUGCAGUCGGGAAUAUUGCGCAAUGGAGGAAACUCUGACGCAGUGACGCCGCGUAUAGGAAGAAGGUUUUCGGAUUGUAAACUAUUGUCGUUAGGGAAGAUAAAAGACAGUACCUAAGGAGGAAGCUCCGGCUAACUACGUGCCAGCAGCCGCGGUAAUACGUAGGGAGCAAGCGUUAUCCGGAUUUAUUGGGUGUAAAGGGUGCGUAGACGGGAAGACAAGUUAGUUGUGAAAUCCCUCGGCUUAACUGAGGAACUGCAACUAAAACUAUUUUUCUUGAGUGUUGGAGAGGAAAGUGGAAUUCCUAGUGUAGCGGUGAAAUGCGUAGAUAUUAGGAGGAACACCGGUGGCGAAGGCGACUUUCUGGACAACAACUGACGUUGAGGCACGAAAGUGUGGGGAGCAAACAGGAUUAGAUACCCGUGUAGUC
rnacentral:rRNA from 1 species